rnacentral:tRNA from 1 species
GGAGAUGUAGCUUAGUAGUAGAGCACACGGUGUGCGUGUAUGAGGCCUUGUGUUCGAUCCCUGGCAUCUCCA